rnacentral:rRNA from 1 species
GACGAACGCUGGCGGCGUGCCUAAUACAUGCAAGUAGGACGCGGUUGCGAACGGGUGAGUAAAGCGUAGGUAACUGCCUAUUAGAGGGGGAUAACUAUUGGAAACGAUAGCUAAUACCGCAUACUAGUAGAUGGACCUGCGUUGUAUUAGCUAGGAGGUAGGGUAAUGGCCUACCUAGGCGGCGAUACAUAGACGAGCUGAGAGGGGGAUCGGGCAAAAUGGGACUGGGGCACUGCCCAGGAUCCUGCGGUGAGCAGCCGGUGGGGAACUGCGGCAAUGGGGGGAACCCUGACCGAGCAACGCCGCGGUGGUGGAGAAGGUGGUCGGGGCGUAAAGGUCUGUUGUGAAGGGAGCGGUACUUAACCAGAAAGGGACGGCUAACUACGUGCCAGCAGCCGCGGUAAUAC